GCUCUUCCAAUCUGAAAGUUUGUUCUUUUUUGUAGUAAAACGAAUUUUGAAGGUGUUCUAAACCACUUUUCUUGAACCGGUGGAUACUCAAAGAAAGCUAAAUCUGAAGCCUGUACAAAAAGCUUACCCUAUAACAUGUGCCAUACCAUUCAAACUUCUGCUUUUGUCAGUCCUUAACGUCUACCUCUCUGAAUUUUCAUGAAUUUCUAUUUCAUAAGAAUGAUUAUUGUAUACGCACUGGCAGCAGCAUACAAAUAAAACACUUAGUAUAAAAAA